rnacentral:Y_RNA from 1 species
GGCUGGUCAGGGUGCCCUGGUGUUUAUGACUAAUUGAUCAUAACCAGUUACAAAUUCCUUUGUCUCUUCUCCACCCAACUGCUUCGCUUGAAUAGACUAAA